rnacentral:rRNA from 1 species
UGUGAGGCAUGCUGGAGGUAUCAGAAGUGCGAAUGCUGACAUAAGUAACGAUAAAGCGGGUGAAAAGCCCGCUCGCCGGAAGACCAAGGGUUCCUGUCCAACGUUAAUCGGGGCAGGGUGAGUCGACCCCUAAGGCGAGGCCGAAAGGCGUAGUCGAUGGGAAACAGGUUAAUAUUCCUGUACUUGGUGUUACUGCGAAGGGGGGACGGAGAAGGCUAUGUUAGCCGGGCGACGGUUGUCCCGGUUUAAGCAUGUAGGCUGGUUGUCCAGGCAAAUCCGGAUAAUCAAGGCUGAGGUGUGAUGACGAGGCACUACGGUGCUGAAGUAACAAAUGCCCUGCUUCCAGGAAAAGCCUCUAAGCAUCAGGUAACAUCAAAUCGUACCCCAAACCGACACAGGUGGUCAGGUAGAGAAUACCAAGGCGCUUGAGAGAACUCGGGUGAAGGAACUAGGCAAAAUGGUGCCGUAACUUCGGGAGAAGGCACGCUGGUGUGUAGGUGAAG